UAGGGAAUCUUCGGCAAUGGGGGCAACCCUGACCGAGCAACGCCGCGUGAGUGAAGAAGGUUUUCGGAUCGUAAAGCUCUGUUGUAAGAGAAGAACGUGUGUGAGAGUGGAAAGUUCACACAGUGACGGUAACUUACCAGAAAGGGACGGCUAACUACGUGCCAGCAGCCGCGGUAAUACGUAGGUCCCGAGCGUUGGCCGUAUUUAUUGGGCGUAAAGCGAGCGCAGCCGGUUUAAUAAGUCUGAAGUUAAAGGCAGUGGCUUAACCAUUGUUCGCUUUGGAAACUGUUAAACUUGAGUGCAGAAGGGGAGAGUGGAAUUCCAUGUGUAGCGGUGAAAUGCGUAGAUAUAUGGAGGAACACCGGUGGCGAAAGCGGCUCUCUGGUCUGUAACUGACGCUGAGGCUCGAAAGCGUGGGGAGCAAACAGG
rnacentral:rRNA from 1 species